GACGAACGCUGGCGGCGCGCCUAACACAUGCAAGUCGAACGGAGUCACGAGGAGCUUGCUUUUCUUGACUUAGUGGCGAACGGGUGAGUAACGCGUGAGUAACCUGCCCUGGAGUGGGGGACAACAGUUGGAAACGACUGCUAAUACCGCAUAAGCCCACGGAUCCGCAUGGAUCUGCGGGAAAAGGAUUUAUUCGCUUCAGGAUGGACUCGCGUCCAAUUAGCUAGUUGGUGAGGUAACGGCCCACCAAGGCGACGAUUGGUAGCCGGACUGAGAGGUUGAACGGCCACAUUUGGACUGAGACACGGCCCAGACUCCUACGGGAGGCAGCAGUGGGGGAUAUUGCACAAUGGGGGAAACCCUGAUGCAGCGACGCCGCGUGGAGGAAGAAGGUUUUCGGAUUGUAAACUCCUGUCGUUAGGGACGAUAAUGACGGUACCUAACAAGAAAGCACCGGCUAACUACGUG
rnacentral:rRNA from 1 species